UGCAACCUGGUCUCAUGGGAAAUACGUACCUCUGUACACUUUUUUGCAGGACCACAAAUAUGUACUAACAGGUACGUAUUGCUACAGUUUUGAAAAAUAAACGUCCACUGGGGUCGCUAAAGAGAAGAACUCCAUGUGACAUAAUUAGGAGUUGCAUUACAUUACAUCGCGAGAUUUAACAACGCAUGUUGAUUGACUGGAGAUGGAUUGUGGACCAAGAGAUCAUGCAUGUCACUAAUCAAAUCAAACAACCAAUCACAGAUGCAGAGACAUCAGUCAAUGUCCCGCCCCCAAAGUCGCGAAAGUAAUCACGAGCGAGCGCGUGUGGUGCAGCUGUGAGACCAUAGAGAGAGUCGAGCAAGUGCUCAUCCAAACCCUUGCUCACGUGACUGCAUUUGUGCGCGCUGAGCGGAGGGGCGCUCUCGCGAGGAUGCUUUUUCCGCGUGCGAAUAGUUUUCUGCGCCAUGUAUCUCUCCCUCGCGCGUGGUUUUUGUGCGCGCGACUUUUGGGUCUGAUUAAACGCCACAGAAAGGUUUUAAGGAUUUAAGCAAUUUUGAGUGUGGUAUGGACUGAUUCAACCUGACAGAAGAGCAACUGUGACUGAAAUAACCACUCGUUACAACCGAGGUAUGCCGCAAAGCAUUUGUGAAGCCACAACACGCACAACCUCGAGGUGGAUGGGCUACAACAGCAGUAGACCCCACCGGGUACUACUUAUCUCCACUACAAAUAGGAAAAAGAGGCUACAAUUUGCACAAGCUCACCAAAAUUGUUGAAAAAUGUUGCCUGGUCUGAUGAGUCUCUGUUGAGACAUUCAGAUGGUAGAGUCAGAAUUUGGCGUAAACAGAAUGAGAACAUGGAUUCAUCAUGCCUUGUUACCACUGUGCAGGCUGGUCGUGUAAUGGUGUGGGGGAUGUUUCCUUGGCACCUUAGUGCCAAUUGGGCAUCAUUCAAAUGCCACAUCCUAUCUGAGCAUUGUUUCUGACCAUGACCAUCCCUUUAUGACCACCAUGUACUCAUCCUCUGAUGGCUACUUCCAGCAGGAUAAUGCACCAUGUCACAAAGCUUAAAUCAUUUCAAAUUGGUUUCUUGAACAUGACAAUGAGUUCACUGUACUAAAAUGGCCCCCACAGUAACCAGAUCUCAACCCAAUAUAGCAUCUUUGGGAUGUGGUGGAACGGGAGCUUCGUGCCCUGGAUAUGCAUCCCACAAAUCUCCAUCAACUGCAAGAUGCUAUCCUAUCAAUAUGGGUUAACAUUUUUAAAGAAUGCUUUCAGCACCUUGUUGAAUCAAUGCCACGUAGUAUUAAGGCAGUUCUGAAGGCAAAAGAGGGUCAAACACAGUAUAAGUAUGGUGUUCCUAAUCCUUUAGUUACUCCAUAUCAGUCAUUUGAUGGACAGUGGGCAACCAAAUAAAAAAGAUGGCAAUUUCUGCAAAAUGAUUAAUUCUAUAGACUUGCUGCUCCACAAGUUGGAAAUACUUGGUGUCUUACCAAUGUUAUUUAUAACUUUGCAGAGAAUCCUGCACCACUCUACCAAAAUUUAAGGUUGCCCCUCUAGAGUCAGUUGCCCCACCACUAUGGUCAGAGACCCCACCGCUGCAGCCGAAGACCCCGCCUCUCCAGUCAGCGACCCCACCACUGUGGCCAGAGACCCUGCCAUUACCAUCAUAGGCCCCACCACUACAAUCAACCACCCUGUCACUACAGUCAGCGUUUCCGCAACUGUGGCCAGAGAGUCCACCACUACCAUCAGAGGCCCUGCGACUACUGUCAGCAACCCCGCAACUGCGGCCAGAGACCACAGCUGUGUGGCAAGAAGUUCCUGGGUGUCUGAGGAUGCUGUACAGUAGUAUGUCUGUUUAAAAACAUGCCAUUAUACAUAUCAAUACAGUAUUUGUCAUCAUAGAAAGUUAUUCUAUACAUUUUGUUUAACACUUUAGUUUGUCUUAUUCUUGAAGGUCUGUUGUUGUCAAAAUGUAUUGAUAUUUAGAUAUAAAAAUCAGGGAAAAAAAACAGUUUCGUUGUCAACACAUCUACACAUGUUGUUGUUACACUAAUGUGUGGUGAAUACUAUGUAUUAAAGAUGUUUAUAUACAAAAUUUUAUAAAUAAGUUCUUGUGAUUUUUAUUUCAUAAUUGAUUUGGAUAAAAAGGAAAUACAAAUUUCCUUCUCCUAGAAAUGAAUAUUUAAGACAAUAAUGUGCUACAUACUACCUACAUGAACUCUGAACCUUGUUGUUAUAUUGAGUGGCCUGGUAAACAAUUAAGUUUUACAUGUCUACUGAAUGUUUACAUGGUUGUCUUUAUUUACCGUCAUCUCUGUACUCUUGAUUUUGUUCUACAGAUCAUGCUAAUAAAAUAAAUGAUGAAACCUAUUUUAAAUGGG